rnacentral:rRNA from 1 species
UUUAAGACUCUCGGCAACGGAUAUCUCGGCUCUUACAUCGAUGAAGAACGUAGCGAAAUGCGAUACUUGGUGUGAAUUGCAGAAUCCCGUGAACCAUCGAGUCUUUGAACGCAAGUUGCGCCCGAGGCCUUUGGGCCGAGGGCACGCCUGCCUGGGCGUCACGC